UACGGGGGGUGCGAGCGUUGUCCGGAAUCACUGGGCGUAAAGGGCGCGUAGGUGGUUUGAUAAGGGUGUGGUGAAAGUCCGGGGCUCAACCCCGGAUCUGCCGUGCCGACUGUCAAACUCGAGGGCUGUAGAGGCAGACGGAAUUCCGGGUGUAGCGGUGGAAUGCGUAGAGAUCCGGAGGAAGACCGGUGGCGAAGGCGGUCUGCUGGGCAGUUUCUGACACUGAGGCGCGAAAGCUAGGGUAGCAAACGGG
rnacentral:rRNA from 1 species